rnacentral:lncRNA from 1 species
CCCUGAGUGCCACCAAGAAAGUGGCACCAACAUUUGCACCAUCUUCCUCAACCUCAUCUUGGAUCUCCUCAGGAUCUAGGUGAUUGACAUCAAUUUCAAGGAAGAGCCAGACCAUGUGCAGUUUGCAGAAAUUGAAGCCCAUGAUGAAAGUUGAGGUCGAGCCUUUUGCGAUCUCCACCUCGAAUACCUUUGAGGCCUUGAACUCCUCCAUGACCUGGAGCUUGGCCGCGAUAAUAGCCAAUGAUCUCUUCUUGAUUGCCCUCUCCUUGCUUGUUGCGAGCUCCUCAUCAACCGCCUUUUGAGUCACCAUUGCCGCCAUCCAAGCCACCACAGUUGCCGCCAACUCCCUCUCCAAUUUAACAACCUUCUCCUGCUGGAUGUCAGCCACAACCCUCUUGUAGGCGAUCUUUCACUUGAGGACCCCCAUCUCAUUGCAGAUGUACUGGAGCUUGGAUAAGGCCUGAGAAUCUCUCUCCUCGAUGGCCUAGGCUCGACUCUCGAUAGAUUGAGCCCCAUCCUCCAACUCUCUUUUCAAGUCGCAAAAGCUCAAAAUUUCUUUGUUGAGUCUGACGAAAUUAUGGAUAAGCUACAAAAUAGAAAAAGAAUAAAAUAUCAAGUAAUGGAG